CAACUUUUAACAACGGAUCUCUUGGUUCUGGCAUCGAUGAAGAACGCAGCGAAAUGCGAUAAGUAGUGUGAAUUGCAGAAUUCAGUGAAUCAUCGAAUCUUUGAACGCACAUUGCGCCCCUUGGUAUUCCAUGGGGCAUGCCUGUUCGAGCGUCAUUU
rnacentral:rRNA from 4 species